AACGAACGCUGGCGGCAUGCCUAACACAUGCAAGUCGAACGAGACCUUCGGGUCUAGUGGCGCACGGGUGCGUAACGCGUGGGAACCUGCCCUUAGGUUCGGAAUAACUCCCCGAAAGGGGUGCUAAUACCGGAUAAUGUCUUCGGACCAAAGAUUUAUCGCCUUUGGAUGGGCCCGCGCUGGAUUAGCUAGUUGGUAGGGUAAAAGCCUACCAAGGCGACGAUCCAUAGCUGGUCUGAGAGGAUGAUCAGCCACACUGGGACUGAGACACGGCCCAGACUCCUACGGGAGGCAGCAGUGGGGAAUAUUGGACAAUGGGCGAAAGCCUGAUCCAGCAAUGCCGCGUGAGUGAUGAAGGCCUUAGGGUUGUAAAGCUCUUUUACCCGGGAUGAUAAGGACAGUACCGGGAGAAUAAGCUCCGGCGAACUCCGU
rnacentral:rRNA from 1 species